GCUCCACCUGCUGUUCUACUGGUUGGAAGAGAUUGUGGAAAAGCAUCAGCGAGACAAGACAAGACUGGACCAAUCAGGAGAGAGAAGACACAGAGGACUGAGGAGACGCAGAAAAUCCUGCUGGAAAUCCAGAGAAGAUGUUUCCUGAUGCAUCAGGGGGACAGCUGAGGACGGGACACAGCAUAAAGAGACAGAUCAUGUGAAGCAGGUUGGAUCUCCUGAACCUGGAAUCCUCCACCUUCAACACCACCAG